UACGAAGGGGGCUAGCGUUGCUCGGAAUCACUGGGCGUAAAGCGCACGUAGGCGGCUUGUUAAGUCGGGGGUGAAAUCCUGGAGCUCAACUCCAGAACUGCCCUCGAUACUGAUGAGCUCGAGUCCGGGAGAGGUGAGUGGAACUGCGAGUGUAGAGGUGAAAUUCGUAGAUAUUCGCAAGAAUACCAGUGGCGAAGGCGGCUCACUGGCCCGGUACUGACGCUGAGGUGCGAAAGCGUGGGGAGCAAACAGG
rnacentral:rRNA from 1 species